GCUGCCCGUAGAUGCAUUGCAGACAUGGCUGGUGUUUUACCAGUGCAUCAGUAAAUGGUAGAGAGGAGAGAGGCUAUAUCUGAUGCUUAGUGUUUAUCCUCCGAACAUCUGAAUGAUUAGUAGCCUAACAUU